GUAGGUGGCAAGCGUUGUCCGGAAUUAUUGGGCGUAAAGCGCGCGCAGGUGGUUCUUUAAGUCUGAUGUGAAAGCCCCCGGCUCAACCGGGGAGGGUCAUUGGGAACUGGGGAACUUGAGUGCAGGAGAGGAAAGUGGAAUUCCACGUGUAGCGGUGAAAUGCGUAGAUAUGUGGAGGAACACCAGUGGCGAAGGCGACUUUCUGGCCUGUAACUGACACUGAGGCGCGAAAGCGUGGGGAGCAAACAGGGAUUAGAUACCCUGGUAGUCCACGCCGUAAACGAUGAGUGCUAAGUGUUGGGGGGGUUUCCCGCCCCUCAGUGCUGCAGCUAACGCAUUAAGCACUCCGCCUGGGGAGUACGGUCGCAAGACUG
rnacentral:rRNA from 1 species